AAUUAGGUUGGAAAAGACCUCUGAGACCAUUCAGUCCACACUAUGACCAAACACCACUGUGUCAACUAGAUCGUGGCAUUAAGUGCCGUGUCCAGUCUCUCCUUGAACACCUCCAGCCAAUUCCAAUAUCUAGUCACCCUUUCUGUGAACAAAUUCUUCCUAAUGUCCAACCUGAACCUCCCUUGGUGCAGCUUAAGACUCUCCUCUCAUCCUGUCACUAGUUGCCUGGGGGAAGAGACCAACUCCUACCCGGCUACAACCUCUUUUCAGGUAGUUGCAGAGGUCACAUUAUAAGGUCACAUUAUAACAAGGACAAGACCUAAAUUAGAAAAAAUUAUGUAUUUCACACCUCAUCACUGGUGUCCUGUUCUUGAAAACACAGUUUCAGUUCAAAAAAUGUUUUAUAGAGCACACUUGAGCCACUCAUGUAUAACCCUUUACUGUACUUAAUUCAAAUAUGCAGAUAUGCCUUGAGUUACAUAAGUCAUCUGUUCCAGGAACAGCCUUGCAGUCAUGAAAUUUUCUCUGAUGUUAUCAGCUGGCAGGGUGCACUGCAAUGUGUCUCAACAGGUCCAUUAUUUUUUUAACUUGUUACUCCCUUACACAUAGGACCGGAAUUUGUGACCUGAAAUUUGACACUAAGUAAGCAGAGUAAAACUGAGACAAUAUUCCAAAACUGCAGAAAGGAGAGAAAAAAGGUUAUGGCAUGAAUCUUUUCUCUGUGUCAGCUGUCUGAUUCUUUUCUUCCUUUGAGGUUUACAGUCACCAUUUAGUCUAGAUUUUCCCUAGAAAUUUUUGGCAAGCUUUGCUGUCUAUGUUUUUAGAAUAAUGUAUGUGGCAGGAGAGGGGAUCUGUGCCCAGAGGGAAAUCGUGGGGAGUGAUCUUCCCCCAGAUAUCACUUAAAGGCUUUACUAAAGAUUUCCAAGACAGCGGCCUAGUAAAAUUCAUUCUCUUCACACAGGCACUCAAAGAAGAUUUGUGAAAACCAGGAGGAGGAGUUGUAAAAAGUGCCAACGCCUGAAAGACAUGAGUCCAAGAUGUGAACAAGAAGGGUAAAAAGAGAACUUAAUAUGGGAUAACAAUUUAUAACAUGACAGAGACUGGAAAAGCAGAUCUCCACAUGUGCAUCAGCAAAACUCUGUGCUGCAGUAGGGAAGCCUGGGGAAAAAUUUUGCCUUGGCAUCAUUCAUGAAUUACAUGUGUCUGAUUUAACAUAUCCCUGCCCUGGACAAAGAAUUUUGCUGGGACAGUCCUUGGAUUAUACUUCAGAAGGAACAACAUCAUUUGCACUGUAGGCUUUGAGAAGUAGUAGUCAAAACCAUAUUAGGAAAAAAUACUGCAGCAAUGUGCUUGAAUGAGAGGCAGAAGCAUGCUCAUUUCAAAAUUACCUCUUGUCCAAAGAAAGGCAAUCUGCUCUGACACAGGAGAAGGAAUGGACAGAGCUGGGAUUGUUCAGCCCAGAGAAGAGGAGCUUCAGGGAAGUCUUACCAAUGUCUAUGAACAGGUGAUGGGAAUAUGUGAAGGAGAGGGAGCAAGACUUCUCAGAGGUAUCCAGUGAAAGGUCAAGUAUAAUUAAGCACAAACUGAAAUGUAGGAAAUGGCAUUUAAAAACAAAAAAUAUUCCUCACACUGGAGAUCAAGAACUAAAAGAAGUUGCUGAGAUAGGCUAUGAGGUCCUCAUCCUUGUUCAUAUUCAAAAAUUGAGAGAGCACAGCCCUAAACAACCAGCUGUAGGUGCCUCUGCUUUGAACCGAGAGGUGAGACAGUCUCCAGAGGUGCCUUCUCACCUCAGCUGUUCUGUGAUGCCAUAAUUCAGAAAUCUUCAUGGUAAUUUAGAACAAAAUUAAGAGACUUCUGAAAACGGAAAAGUCACAUCUUGAGAAAGGCCUAAAUAGCUAUAGCUUUGAGUCACAUUUUCUUAAGUCAUUCAGGAUUUUCCAACCCUGAGUCCUGCUUGCUUUCAGCAGGACUUAGGUUUCUUAAGAAGUGUAGAUUUUAAUUUUUUUUUAUUUUAUUUUUUUCGUUUUUGCAGUUUCCAGAUUUCUGUGGUUUGGCUUUUUAAAUUUUUUUCCUGUUUGACUUUUAUUACCUAAGGAUUUAUUAUGCCUUGAAAGCAUACCAAGAUUUGUUUCCUCUACAAAAAAAAUUCCAAUCACUCAGUCAGAGAGACAGAAAUGCACCAUAGAAAAUAUUCCAGUUUCUGUUCUUUCUUCCUCCUCUGUAGGAUGCUUCCAAUAUGCCAGCUGCAUAUGCAAUAGUUGACCUCAGAUAUCAAUAAGUUAUGGAUGUCAUCUCAUCAAAAGCAAACACAAACCUUCAGUCUAUAUAGAUCCCCAAAGAUCCUGUUUGUAAUGACACUAGAGGGAGUCCUGACACUGCAAGAAAAUCUUUUUCCUGUGACAAUUCCUUAAGUAAAUAGUGCCUUAUAAAUGAAAAUGUUGUUGAAAUAGAGCUUCUGAAGAAAAUGAAGGAGCCAUUCAAUUCAGAUGAGAUCAGACAGUAUUUGAACUCUAAAUUCCAAGUUUGCAAUGAUUCAUAUAUAGAAGUGAAUUUUAAAAAGGGCAUUGUUAAUAAGGAUUUUAUUUUUUUAGUAAAGAACAUAUUUAAAGUCAGUAUUCAAAAUUAAUCUCUACAAUAUUGUUCUGAUAAUUUAAAUUACAAGGAACCUGUUCUACAAAACCUAUGCUCUUCUUGUGAUCUCUGAAUACUUAAGAUAGACCAUGUGGCCCUGAGUUUUCAAGUUAGAUUUAGACAACAGAAUUUUUACUGAGAUCCAUAUCAGUUCAGCACUCAGGACCUCUUUUUCAAUAAAGAUAGGUUCCCAAAAAUGCACUGGUGCAUCCCACAAGUUACUAUGAUAUGCUGGUCCAUGCAUGUUCCUAACCAUGUUAACAAUUUUGAAAAUCAGAGAUGUCUGAAAGAGAAAUUUGCGUGCACCCAAGACUAGUGGUACUCAGUACCUCAGAAUUAUAAUUUAUCCUAUUUGCACUGGGGAUUGGGAAUACUCAUCGCGCUGUGGGAUAUCAUAACAUUCAAGCCUAAAGCAAGGCAAGGCACUAUGCUCUGAAUGAAGGAGGAUCCAAAUGCAAGGGAUACAAAUGCUUCCUUUCUUCCCCUUGGUGGUCUAUGCCUCAAACGAAGACCCCUUAGCCUGCUUCAUGUAUUCACCAUAUUCUUGUCCCUUUCAAGGUUUCGCGGAGUGAGUGAUCACCUCUUGCUCCUUUCCUGAUGCUGGGUGAGCUCUAUCAGAGAACUCAGAGAUUGCAUUCAGGAACAGGGCAUGUAGGAAAUUAAAACAUUCCCUUUUUCUGGUACAGUGGCAUAGCCUGAGAGACUCAGUAUAGGAGGCUGCAGCUGCUACUAGAAGGAAAGGGAAAAAAUUGGUGGAAUGACACUAAUGGGUAGUGGUGACUUUUACCUACAUGGCAACUGUGUGUCCUUGAGAUCAAUCUGUUAAGUUGCCAGCCCAAUGGAGAUUCCCAGUGCAGGAAUGUUACCAGGGCAAGAGGAAAAUCACAGGCCAGAUACCAGAUUUUUUUCUCCCUUGAGCUCUUCAUGGGGUAAAAGCUUAGGCAUGCUCAUCCUUCUUUUUCCAUCUGUAGGUGGCAAGGCCCAAUUACAUCAGUUUGCAGCUGUGCACAUCUACAGGCUGUGCAGUGAAGGACCUGCUGUCCUCCCCUGCUGUCUUCAUAUUUAUACCUGGAUUGCCAUGGCUGCUCAAUUAACUACUAAAGGCUGCUCUUUGUAGGACUCGGGUUACAGGAAAGAUGCUGGAUGAGGCAUCCUGGGAAAUGAAGUCCCGAAGUACUCCCACACAUGGGCAGAGAGAAGCCCUUGGUCAAGGGAGUCACAUGUUACUUUGAGGUGUAUAUAAAAGAUGUUGUCUUAUUUGAAUAAAGAGGAUUUGGUGCUGAACCCCCAACUAUCUAGUGGGGUCUGUGUAAUUUAUUUACCUAUUAUAUUAAUACGCCACAGCUCUUUCUGCUAAAGCAAUAGAAUUUUAGAAAAAGAAGACUCAAAGAAGCAUGAGUAUAUAUAGUAUGCUGCCACGAUGUAGGGUCUGCCUUAUUCCCCAUAGAAUAUGUGCUAGCAAACACGGGACACUCACCCUGUGAUCUCUCCUAGUCACAGGUCAAACUCUUAUAAUUUCCUAACAACACAAUUCCUUAAUUCACAGAAUAUGAUUAGUAUAUUACCCUCCGUAUUAAGUAUUAUUGAAAUCAAACUAGUAUUAUUAAAACAAAUUUGGGAAGUGCACCAACCAGUGCGGUAGCUUUUUUGUAUUAUUAUGUAUAUGUAGCAUUUAGCUUGUAUUAUUUUUGCUUGUUUGUUCACUUUCAUUGUGUGGAUAUGUGGUUUUUUACCCCAGGUAUUUACUGAUUUACGUAUAUGCAAGAACUUCCACACUGGCCUUAAAAAGAAUAUUCUUUUGCCCCGAAUUCAGUGUUAAGUGUUGCACUUUAGUGUCUGCUCUUCUGCAAAUCUGUAUGAAAGUCUCAGGUCAUUUCUUUCAAGGGUUCCUAUUUAAAACAUCCAAUUCCAGAAGCUUCCACAAAGAUAAUAUGUCAGAACUGGGAGUCUUGAAACAGACCUUCACCCCUGUCUACCAAAGCAAAGCAACUGUCAGUCAGCCAAAAGUCCAGCAAAGGAAAAACAGAAACACAACUACAGCAAAACUAUGCAAGUUAUCUUUCCACAGGGAGGAGACUAGAAUUUGGCUUUUGUACAGGUCAAAGGAGACAGAGGAACUCAAAUGGAUGCUGCUAAAGAAAAUGCUUUCAUGCCCCUGUCUUCAGUACACUGAAAGAGAUAAAGCAAAUCCCUGGAAAAGGGCUUCACUUUCAUGACAGUGAUAUGUGGUCUUUCUGAAGACAUUUGCGGAAUUUAAAUUCUUAGGUUUUAGUGAAAAAUGUGCUCUCAUUCCGUGAAAUGACUGAGUUAGAGAUUGUGUAGUGAUCAGACAAUUAAGCAGCUCAUUUCCAGGGAACAUAUGUCAGAAUGCUAAAUAAAAGUAGUUAAACAGAAAAAAUACUUUUAUACAGUUUUGAGUUUUGAUGGGUUUUUUUAUGCACUUCACUGUUUUGUGCAGUUUCUCUAAUCUUUUUUGGCUUUAACAGUUUUUUAUGCACUCCUGCUGAUCAGAACCUUCAUCAUUGUUGUUUGUAACUCAGUUCCCUUUGGUUAGACCAUUUUCAUCUAGCAAAACCACUUAUAUUCCUCCACACUAAUCUGUUUUUCUCAUUUGCCUGUGCAAAUGGUUUGGAUUCUUCCAAUAAUGAUAAUUCAUCUUUCUUUCAGCAAGUGAAUCCUGGAUCAGUGAGAAUUGUCCUCGGUGUCAUUGUUAUUGUUCUGGUUGAGAAUCUGGUAAUUUUUCAUGUGCUGUCUUUGACAUCGCUAGAAAUUAGUGGUGCCUUUACAGCCCCCCUGCUCUGGUACUCACAUGGCUCUUAUUCCUACUGCCUGUAUUAAAAGAUGCAUUUGCAAAC